ensembl:lncRNA
CUCGCCCCUCUGCGCGCUGGGCCACUGGACGCCUCGUGCUACACUUGGGUCACACCCCUCCUGCAGCUCGGGCUCCUGGGGUGGGCGUGGACGUGGGCGUGGGGGGCGACGGGUCACGGGGACCGUAGCGGUGAUGGGACGCAGUUCGGGAGCUUUGUUUAUGGCGCCGAUGGGGUGAAAGGUGGUGGUGGCGCGGUUCUGGGUGAAGUCGUCCCACGACGCGUAUUCAUACAGAAUGUCCGUCCGGUACGGCGUCCACGGCAUGACGUACAGCCGGUCACCUGACUGCAGCGGGUCCUUGCACCACGCCCCCGACUGAUGCUCCGCCUCCUUCUGUGAACUCGCCGCUUGAACCCUCAACAAAGUCCCCGGACAUACAAAGACUGGGGAGAAGGAGGGAGAGAGAGAGAGACGGAGGAAAAGAGAGAGAGAGAGAGAGAGAGAGAGAAUGGAGGAUGACAUUGAAAGAAUGAAGACCGAGCCAGAGACAAAAAGAAAGAGUAACAGAGAGAGAGAGAUCAACAGAGAAAGAAGGGAUGAUAGCAUGAAAAGCGUAAAGACAGAGUAAAAGAGAGCGCGACAAAGAGAGAGAGAGAAACAGAGUGAGGGACGAUGAUGGGAUUGAAAAGGAAUAAAGACAGAGGGAGGAAGAGAGAGAAAGAGAGCGAGAGGGACAGGCAAGGAUUAUGAAAUUGAAGGAAUAAUGACAAGGAAUAAGAGAGGGACGCAAAAAGACAGAGAGAGAGAGAGAAAAUGGAGAGAUGAUGGCAUUAAAACAGUGAAAACGGAGAGAGAGAAAGAGAGAGAUAAAUGUUAAGAAUAUGACAGAAAAAGUCAAGAGAGAGAGAGAGAGAGAGAGAGAGAGAGGGAUGUGAAAGAAUACACAGAGACAGCACAGAUAGAAUAAUCAUAGCAGGCAAAGAAGAAAAGAAUAGAAGAGGCAGAGAGAAUGAUGGAAGGAUACAGAGAUAAAUAACAGAAUGAUGGCCAAGAGAAAGAGUGAAAGACGGUGAAGAAGAUGGAGAGACAGAGGGAAGGAAGUGGAGGAAUCGGAUGGGGUAAAAAUAAUAAUAAUAAUAAUAAUAAAAAAUUAUGAAAGGGACAAAAUGAAGAGAAGUGCAGGAAGAAAGAGGGACACAAGGACAGGAGUGAAGACAGGUGUGAAGGAUUAGAAUAUAAAUCGAAAGAGAAAAGACAAGAAGACGGACAGAAGGGGGAAGAAAGAGAAAGAGAGGGGAAGGAGAGAGAGAGAGAGAGAGAUUGGAGAGUAGGCAUGAGAUAAAUGGUUGUGCUUGCAGUGAGAGGAUGUAAGAAUGUAAAUGGCGGUUAGUAGGGGACGAGUGAAGUGCACUACAGCUCGGGAGCUGUGAUGAAUGAGGAGCCUUCUGGCUGCUGGGCCGCGAGUGUGUUUCAGCUCUGGCCUACUUCGGCAGGGUUUUUUUUGCUGGGCGUUUCUAUUUAAAGUGUGUGGAGAGUGUGGAGCAUGUGGAGUGUGGAGUGUGUGUGUGGAGCAUGUGUGUGUGGAGCCUGUGUGUGUGGAGCAUGUGGAGUGUGUAGAGAGUGUGGAGUGUGUAGAGAGUGUGGAGUAUGUGGAGAGUGUGGAGAGUGUGGAGUGUUGUGUGUGUGUGGAGUGUGUGUGUGUGGAGUGUGUGGAGUGUGUGUGUGUGGAGUGUGUGUGUGUGGAGUGUGUGGAGUGUGUGUGUGUGGAGUGUGUGUGUGUGGAGUGUGUAGAGAGUGUGUGUGUGGAGUGUGUGUGUGUGGAGUGUGUGGAGUGUGUGUGUGUGGAGUGUGUGUGUGUGGAGUGUGUAGAGAGUGUGGAGUAUGUGGAGCAUAUGGAGAGUGUGGAACUUGUGGAGUGUGUGCGUGGAGCAUCUGUGGAGUGUGUGGAGCGUGUGUGUGGAGCGUGAGUGUGGAGUGUGAGUGGAGUGUGAGUGGAGUGUGUGAGGUUUGUUUGGAGGUUGAGGAGUGUGUGGAGCAAGCGUUUGGAGUGUGUGGAGCGAGUAUGUGGAGCAUGUGUGGAGCGUGUGAAGUGUGUGGAGCGAGUGUGUGGAGAGUGUGUGUGGAAUGUGUGGAGUGUGUGUGUGGAGAGUGUGGAGUGUGUGGAGAGUGUGUGUGUGUAGUGUGUGUGUGUGGAGAGUGUGUGUGGAGAGUGUGUGUGUGUGUGUGUGUGUGUGGAGCGUGUGCAUGUCUCGGCGUAAACACAAGGCCUGAGGUUCGAGGUUCGGAUCUCCAUCAAUGUGAAUGUACAUCAGGACCGGCCAUGUUUCAAAACAACAGGCGAGCUUUCACACUGAAACACAC